GCAGGCGCGCGGUCCGCGCGCUCAGUUCCCCGGGGCGGAGCGAGGCGGCGGCCGCCGCAGCCGGAGGCGGAUUCCUCAGAUAGGCGACUACAUCUCUGGAAGCAGCAGCUCCAUGCUGGAUGUGGUGGAAGAAUCGAGAGGGAAUGGACUGGAAGUUUGGAAUCACCGGAAAAUAACAAGGCAUAGCUAAGCUGUGACUAGCAAGAUAAACGAUUUGUUCGAGGUUUGAUUGUCCUUUCCCUCCUCCACUCGGAAGACAUAGUUGUCUUUUUUUAAAUCAUGUUUUGUACCGAAAUAUUUUUAUUUUAUAAUUGAAUCCCUGUUGUUGGGCCUUUAAAAACCCAUAGAAACAUUGUUAUGUGCCACGAAGGUGGGAAACACGGCUUUCUCAGUCAUUGCUGUACUCCCACAAUUCUGGGUCAUGCACACAAUACAGGUUUAGUAAAUAAAAUCCGUAUGUUUUUGGCCCCA
rnacentral:lncRNA from 1 species